rnacentral:sRNA from 1 species
AGAUAUGUUGGCCUAGAAACAUAUAUGGAUCUUUUAAAUUUGAACACAUCAAUUCAAAUUUCAUCUCAGGCAGGAAGGAGCAAGAAAUGAAUUAUUGUUUUCCAGCCACUUUCUGGUGAGAGGGAUCAACAGUACUUGAAAACCAAUUACAACCACAACAGACUAGAGAAGGCAAUUCCCAAAGCUCUUCUGCUCUGGAGGGGCCGCUGGACUUCAGGCUGAGAUUCAGAGGUCUGUGAACUGCCACCCUGUGUAAUUCAAGCUGGAAAGCAUCCUUCAUACCACGCCACUAUUGACAAUGACAAAGAAAUUGUGCUUCUCAGUAAUGUGUUAGCAUGGGAUACUUCUGAAGACAUCGACUGGGUUCCUACAGGAGAAUCUGGGUACACAUGAUAUACCCUUUCAGGACUGAAUGGAAAUGUGGCUGGCAUUCUGGUUAGAGAAUGAAGCUCAUUCUUCCCUUCCACGAGGUGGAGAGCAUCAACCCAUACGUUCGAGUUCCCUUCAUUAACCCCCAGUUAGGAAGUGCUACACAGUACACGCUGUUUUUGGAAUACCAAAGAGCCACCACACUGUUUCUAAAGACGAGCAUUGAAAGGCAGCUCGCCGAGCCAUUUUCUGACACCUGAGAGCAAUUAGUGGAAGCAAAGACAGAGGACAUCAUCAAUUGUUUAAAAUAAAGUGAAUUCAGCCUUCUCCAGCGGUUGUCAGCUUCGCUCUUCCACCUGAACACACUCACAACACAUCCCUGCAUCGAACUCUGUGGAGACAGGCGCUGACUGGCCGCUCUGACAACUGGCUGAUGAUUUCUGCUUAGCCCUGAGUUGGAGGAGGGGAGACCCUGGCUCCGGGUGAAAAGAGGCGGGGCCCUGACCUCAGGAACACAUCCCCAUCUGUGACCAGCAGCUUCAAAGAUGAACAAACACUCACCCUAGUCUUUCACAAAUACUUUCACUUAUUUCCAAUUCCUUCAUUUAUUUAUUUAUU